GACGAACGCUGGCGGCGUGCUUAACACAUGCAAGUCGAACGGAAAGGCCCUGCUUUUGUGGGGUGCUCGAGUGGCGAACGGGUGAGUAACACGUGAGUAACCUGCCCUUGACUUUGGGAUAACUUCAGGAAACUGGGGCUAAUACCGGAUAGGAGCUCCUGCUGCAUGGUGGGGGUUGGAAAGUUUCGGCGGUUGGGGAUGGACUCGCGGCUUAUCAGCUUGUUGGUGGGGUAGUGGCUUACCAAGGCUUUGACGGGUAGCCGGCCUGAGAGGGUGACCGGCCACAUUGGGACUGAGAUACGGCCCAGACUCCUACGGGAGGCAGCAGUGGGAAAUAUUGCACAAUGGGCGGAAGCCUGAUGCAGCAACUCCGCGUGCGGGAUGACGGCCUUCGGGUUGUAAACCGCUUUCGCCUGUGACGAAGCGUGAGUGACGGUAAUGGGUAAAGAAGCACCGGCUAACUACGUG
rnacentral:rRNA from 1 species